GGCCACAUGGCGCAGUGGUUAGCAUCUGGCUACGUAUUGACGUGGGACAAUCAAUACGCGUGAGUUCGAAUCUCACUGUGGUCG